AAAGACGACACUGUUUAAUCUGUCCUCUGAGGUCCAAAACUGAGGGACAAAUAAAGUAAAGUUACCAGACAAAUCAGCUUCACUCCUUCUAGUGAGGAGGAGUCAAUGCAAAACUCAGAUGUCUUCCACCUCUACUUAUCUGACUGCAGAGAGGAGGACAGAGGACAGUGGACACACAGUUUAACAUGAUGGACUAUAGGACAGGACUGCUGCUUUUAACCAUCUGCUGCUGGACAGGUGUUGAUGGUCAGACUCUGACAGAAUCUGAACCAGUGAUUAAAAGACCUGGAGAAUCCCACAGACUGACCUGUACAGCUUCUGGAUUCACAUUCAGUAGCUACUAUAUGCACUGGAUCAGACAGGCUCCUGGAAAAGGACUGGAGUGGAUCGCUGCUAUUAUGACAGUAGCAACAUCGGCUACUCUCAGUCAGUUCAGGGCCGGUUCACCGUCUCCAGAGACAACAACAGACAGCAAGCUGUAUCUGCAGAUGAACAGUCUGAGGACUGAAGACUCUGCUGUUUAUUAUUGCGCUCGAGAGCCACAGUGACUGGAGUUGGUUGAGCAGCUGUACAAAAUCCUACAGGACUCAUUCUGACUGGACUGGUUGAGGAAAAGCAUGAAGUAUUUUUUGCAUAUUUUAUAUAUAUAUAUUUUUAUAAUGUUUUACAUGAUACAGUUUGCUUUAUAUAUAUUUAUAAAUAAUAAAUUAAUCUUUGUCCUAACAC